rnacentral:rRNA from 1 species
CCUACGGGUGGCAGCAGUAGGGAAUAUUGCUCAAUGGGGGAAACCCUGAAGCAGCAACGCCGCGUGGAGGAUGAAGUUUUUCGGAUUGUAAACUCCUUUUGUUAGGGAAGAUAAUGACGGUAUCUAACGAAUAAGCACCGGCUAACUCCCUGCCAGCAGCCGCGGUAAUACGGAGGGUGCCAGCGUUACUCGGAAUCACUGGGCGUAAAGAGCGCGUAGGCGGGAUAGCAAGUCAGAGGUGAAAUCCUAUGGCUUAACCAUAGAACUGCAUUUGAAACUGUUAUUCUAGAGUAUGGGAGAGGUAGGUGGAAUUCUUGGUGUAGCGGUAAAAUCCGUAGAGAUCAAGAGGAAUACU